AGUGAACGCUGGCGGUAGGCCUAACACAUGCAAGUCGAACGGCAGCACAGUAAGAGCUUGCUCUUACGGGUGGCGAGUGGCGGACGGGUGAGGAAUACAUCGGAAUCUACUUUUUCGUGGGGGAUAACGUAGGGAAACUUACGCUAAUACCGCAUACGACCUACGGGUGAAAGCAGGGGAUCUUCGGACCUUGCGCGAUUGAAUGAGCCGAUGUCGGAUUAGCUAGUUGGCGGGGUAAAGGCCCUCCAGGGCGACGAUCCGUAGCUGGUCUGAGAGGAUGAUCAGCCACACUGGAACUGAGACACGGUCCAGACUCCUACGGGAGGCAGCAGUGGGGAAUAUUGGACAAUGGGCGCAAGCCUGAUCCAGCCAUACCGCGUGGGUGAAGAAGGCCUUCGGGUUGUAAAGCCCUUUUGUUGGGAAAGAAAAGCAGCAGGUUAAUACCCCGCUGUUCUGACGGUACCCAAAGAAUAAGCACCGGCUAACUUCGUG
rnacentral:rRNA from 1 species